rnacentral:rRNA from 1 species
UAGUCGGAGGUGUGUCUCGGACGGUCGGUUCGCCGCUUGUCGGUGCUCAACUGGCCGGUCCGGACGUCCUGUCGGUGGGGCCGCGAGGCUCCGUCAUCCUUCUUUGGUCCUCUUCACCGAGUGCCUUGGUGGGCCGGCACGUUUACUUUGAACAAAUUAGAGUGCUCAAAGCAGGCCGUUGGUCGCCUGAAUACUGUGUGCAUGGAAUAAUGGAAUAGGACCUCGGUUCCAUUUUGUUGGUUUUCAGAACUCGAGGUAAUGAUUAAUAGGGACGGACGGGGGCAUUCGUAUUGCGACGUUAGAGGUGAAAUUCUUGGAUCGUCGCAAGACGAACCGAUGCGAAAGCAUUUGCCAAGAACGUUUUCGUUGAUCAAGAACGAAAGUUAGAGGUUCGAAGGCGAUCAGAUACCGCCCUAGUUCUAACCAUAAACGAUGCCAGCUAGCCAUCCGCCGAAGUUCCUUCUAUGACUCGGCGGGCAGCUUCCGGGAAACCAAAGCUCUUGGGUUCCGGGGGAAGUAU